CCACCACACAGUGUGAGUGAGAGCGACGCAGACACGAAUGACCGAAGACAGCUAGGCCCAUACAGCUAGGACAAGCGCGUUAUGACGGCCUCCAGUCUUCUUGGAUCUGCUGAUCAUGAUCAUGCCUGGGAUGAACUCGGUCAACUCUGUCAACCUCAGUUUUGACUUAUGCCACAAAACAAAACGAAACACAGAGAGCAUCCUGUCCAGCUGCAUCACUGUGUGGGGUGGAAGCUGUACAGAACACAA